rnacentral:rRNA from 1 species
UACAGAGGUCUCAAGCGUUGUUCGGAUUCAUUGGGCGUAAAGGGUGCGUAGGUGGCGCUGUAAGUCAGGUGUGAAAUUUCGGAGCUCAACUCCGAAACUGCAUUCGAUACUGCCGUGCUUGAGGACUUGAGAGGAGACUGGAAUUACGGUGUAGCGGUGAAAUGCGUAGAUAUCGUAAGGAAGACCAGUGGCGAAGGCGGGUCUCUGGACAGUUCCUGACGCUGAGGCACGAAGGCCAGGGAGCAAACGGG